GUCAGUACCAUGUUGAAGAAUGCUGUGAUGUAUGUGACAAGAUAACAGUAUAUUCAAACACACAAAUACAUGCAUACACAUCCACAUGCAGAGUUAGAAUGCAGCACCUAGCAUGAAUAUAAAUCAAUGUAAUGGAACAAGACAAGAAUGGUAAUUGUCAUCAUGAAAGGCUUGAAACAAAGGAAUUCCAGAAACUGUCCAUUAUGUCGAUGGCUUGAACUUUAAUAUUUGAGUCCAUUCCCAGUGACAAAUUCAUAUUUCUUUUCUUGAAAAGCUAUUCAUGAAAAACUCAUAUAUAUGGUUAUAUUUUUCCUCAUUAGGAAAUCUUAAUCAUUUUUAUUAAAUGAUAGAGCCCAAAAAUUUUUCAAGAGAAAUUUUUGCAUACAGGAAGGAUUAAUAUCUUUAAUUAUUGCAUGUAUGCGUGUGUGAAUCUAAAACUAUUGAAAUGACCAAAUAAAAUCUUGGCAACAUCAUUAUUUACUAAUCAAGAGAAAA
rnacentral:misc_RNA from 1 species